rnacentral:rRNA from 1 species
UACGUAGGGUCCAAGCGUUAUCCGGAAUCACUGGGCGUAAAGCGUGCGUAGGCGGCGUGUUAAGUGAGAUGCGAAAUCUUGUGGCUCAACCAUAUAGACUGUAUCUCAUACUGGCAUGCUUGAGGAUGGCAGAGGCAAGUGGAAUUAGUAGUGUAGCAGUGAAAUGCGUAGAGAUUACUAGGAACACCAAUGGCGAAGGCAGCUUGCUGGGCCAUUUCUGACGCUGAGGUACGAAAGCGUGGGGAGCGAACAGG